UCGGUGGAGCCAAUCUUGAAAUACCACCCUGGUAAUAUUGAGGUUCUAACUCUGUCCCGUUAUCCGGGACGAGGACCAUGUCUGGUGGGUAGUUUGACUGGGGCGGUCUCCUCCUAAAGAGUAACGGAGGAGUACGAAGGUGCGCUCAGCGUGGUCGGAAAUCACGCGUAGAGUAUAAAGGCAAAAGCGCGCUUAACUGCGAGACCCACAAGUCGAGCAGGUACGAAAGUAGGUCUUAGUGAUCCGGUGGUUCUGUAUGGAAGGGCCAUCGCUCAACGGAUAAAAGGUACUCUGGGG
rnacentral:rRNA from 1 species